AGCCUUUGAUUCUAAAAGGGGGCGACGGCCUGCAAAGCCGUCUACGCCGGUUCGAUUCCGGC
rnacentral:tRNA from 1 species